rnacentral:ncRNA from 1 species
UCAGUGGUUGCUGAGUUAGAGCUUAACAGCGUAAAACCCCCAAAACAAUCCACCGCCGGACACGAUCGAAGAGG